rnacentral:rRNA from 1 species
ACGGCUAAUUACGUGCCAGCAGCCGCGGUAAUACGUAGGUCCCGAGCGUUUUCCGGAUUUAUUGGGCGUAAAGCGAGCGCAGGCGGUUUGAUAAGUCUGAAGUUAAAGGCUGUGGUUCAACCAUAGUUCGCUUUGGAAACUGUCAAACUUGAGUGCAGAAGGGGAGAGUGGAAUUCCAUGUGUAGCGGUGAAAUGCGUAGAUAUAUGGAGGAACACCGGUGGCGAAAGCGGCUCUCUGGUCUGUAACUGACGCUGAGGCUCGAAAGCGUGGGGAGCGAACAGGAUUAGAUACCCUGGUAGUCCACGCCGUAAACGAUGAGUGCUAGGUGUUGGAUCCUUUCCGGGAUUCAGUGCCGCAGCUAACGCAUUAAGCACUCCGCCUGGGGAGUACGACCGCAAGGUUGAAACUCAAAGGAAUUGACGGGGGCCCGCACAAGCGGUGGAGCAUGUGGUUUAAUUCGAAGCAACGCGAAGAACCUUACCAGGUCUUGACAUCCCGAUGCUAUUUCUAGAGAUAGAAAGUUACUUCGGUACAUCGGUGACAGGUGGUGCAUGGUUGUCGUCAGCUCGUGUCGUGAGAUGUU